AAUUUUCCAAUAAGACAGUAAGAGCUGCUAAAAAACAGGCCGAUGUCACCCUGCAGGCCUCCGGUCAUCUUUCUGUCAGCCCCUCUGUAAACAUGAAUUCUCAGAGUUACCCUCCCAGCAUGGCAACAGCUGCUUAGCUUCUCCUUCUCCUGGGUCUUUCCUCGGAGAUAAUCCUUUGCUGUUGAGAUUGGGAAAAUGAUGAUGAGCCAGCUGUCACUUGUACCCAGCCAGGCCAGACGGUCCAGGUCAGCUUGGCUUGAACUCCCCCAGUGCACGCGGAGCAUGACAGCCCAAAGCCCCCUUCUGAGAUUCCUGAGAAUUUCCAGAUCUCACCAAUGCAUGAGCUUUAGGUUCCGUGAAAUCUUGAUCUGCCUCUGCAUCUCACCCCAGGUCGAGGCUUCCCCGUUUGUUCCGAGAUCAGCAGGACUUCCAUGGACAACUGUGCUGCUGGGCCACCAUGGAGAAGCUUCUGGAAUGGAAGUCAGGAGUGAUCACAGAGGGUGGAGACUGUGUACCUGUGAGACAGUGAGCCUACGGCCUACCUGGAAGAAGUGUCUGGGGGCCACCGUCAUGACCCUUACUAACAGGAACAUAUGGCCACCAGAUGCUUCCCUGACAGUAGCACUUCCCUGA
rnacentral:lncRNA from 1 species